rnacentral:rRNA from 1 species
GUACUGUGCAAACGUUGUUCGGAAUCACUGGGCUUAAAGGGUACGUAGGCGGCCAGUUAAGUAGGGUGUGAAAUCCCCCGGCUCAACCGGGGAACUGCGCUCUAAACUGACUGGCUUGAGUGAGAUAGGGGUGUGCGGAACUUCCAGUGGAGCGGUGAAAUGUGUUGAUAUUGGAAGGAACGCCGUUAGCGAAAGCGGCACACUGGGUCUCAACUGACGCUGAGGUACGAAAGCCAGGGUAGCGAACGGGAUUAGAUACCCCGGGUAGUCCUGGCUGUAAACGUUGAGCACUAGUCGGGAGGGGUUUCGGCCCCUUCCCGGACGCAGCGAAAGCACUAAGUGCUCCGCCUGGGGAGUAUGGUCGCAAGGCUG